UAAGCUCUGCUGUGUUCGUGAGGGGUUCUAUAAACUCUCUCUAUCAUUUGACUUUACGGGAACCCAAUAUUUCUUCUCGCCGUGGCGUGGAGGUGCGGGAGCCCACCUAGGAUUUCCUGGGGGUCAGUACAUAGGAUCAUAACGGCAAUUGUGGAGCUAAA
rnacentral:other from 1 species